CUAGAUUUCGUAGCAAGUAUCUAUCGGAGUACCCAGAAGAAGAUUGAAGAAGAAUACUGUAAUCCAAGUAUCCAUGCUCUUUCGUGCUUAUGAUGCAACUUGGGCUAUUGCUGAAGCUGUAAAGAAAUCAGCAGGAGAAACGAGCCCAACAGAAUUAUUCAAAGGAAUCUUAUCCAGAAAAUUUUAAGGUUUGAGUGGGGCAAUAAGGUUUAAGAGCAAUGUGGUGUGACAAUCACCUUCAUUCCACGCCAUUGACGUUGCAGGUAACAGCUAUAGAGAGAUGGCAGUGUGGUCAACACCCACCAGAAUUCGGUUUCUUAAAGAACCACGAGAAAGAUAAUGGGGGUAAAUGACAACCGUUCUUUGGAAGAAUGGGGACCGGUUUAUUAGCCUGGUGGAAAGGGCAGUGUUUCCUACCUUUCAGCUAGGCGGUUUUGGCUUUGUUUUUCCAAAGGGUUCUCCUCUGGUUUUUGACAUGUCGGUGGCAAUCCUGAAAGUUAUAGAGUGGAGAAACUCGGCAAUUGGAAGAGACGCUCUCUUCUUCCUCUGAUGUAUUAAGGGACCGCUCAAGUUUAGAUCUCAAACCUCUCGCUGGGCUUUUCAUAUUAUCCGGUAGUGUUUCAGCCUUUGGAUUCCUAGUUGCCGUUUGGUGUAUCAGAAGGAAUCUGCAGCUCUUGAGCUACAUUCAAACAGUAUUGGCGAAAAGGAGAAUUUGGAGAUGGGCAAGCAUGCAACUUUCUAGAAAAUUCCCACCAUAAAAAAAAUUAAUGUCCAAGUGCUGGCUUCUAUAUGUGUACAGAUAGCAAAUUUUACCCUCUAGAAAAUUAUAUUACAGCGUUAAGGUCUAGCUAUAAAACUAAAAAAAGGCCUCUCAACCCAACAUAAAUGCUCUUUUUUUUUUUAAUAUGUAUGUGUGUGUUUACUGGUGAAUCAGAUCACAAAGAGAAUAAUCAGGGAAUUU